CACAUCUGAAACCUGCAGGGACACCGGCCCUCGUGGACUGGGAUUGGGGACCCCUGCUCUACAGUCUAUAGUUUGAGUGGCAUUUUAGCAGACUGCAACCCACAGUGACAGACAUUUCUCAUGUGUCGUCUGUGAGGAAACAGCAGCAGGCCGACUGUUCUGUUGCAUCUUUAUUGAUUGGCCUCAUUCUCUGAUUGCUGCAACGAUGCUCAGGUAGGUGCUACGUGUCAAAGUAUCAUCCACAUGGAUGGUAGGACCCAAGGUUUCCCAGCAGAACAUCGCCCAAAGCAUCACACCGCCUCUGCCGCCGUGCCUUCUACCCACAAUGCAUCCUGGUGCAAGGCGUUCCCCGGGUAAGCGACACAUGCACACCUGAUGUAAAACAUGACUCAUCAGACCACCUUCUUCCAUUGCUCCGUGGUCUAGUUCUGAUGCUGAUCAUUGGUGGUUUUGGUGGUGGGCAGCAGUCAACACGGGCACCCUGACUGGUCUGCAGCUACGCAGCAACCAAACUGUUGGAGCUACAGCACUACUGACGUUAUGCUUUCCCCUGCUUCUAAUAUCUACUUUGAGGACAGCAUGCUCACUCGCUCCCUAACACAUCCCACCCACUAAAAGGUGCCACGAUGAAGAGCUAAUCAGUGUUCCUCACUUCACCUGUGAACGUUUAAAAUGUCAU